GCUCCAAUAGCGUAUAUUAAAGUUGUUGCGGUUAAAAAGCUCGUAGUUGAAUUUCUGCCAAGGACGACCUACCACCUUAGGGUGCGUGUCAGUGUUGACCGAGGCAUCCUCCUAGCAGCGUCCGCAUUUAACCGUGCGGUUCGUUCUAGGACUUUUACUUUGAGGAAAUUAGAGUGUUUCAAGCAGCUUACGCCUUGAAU
rnacentral:rRNA from 1 species